rnacentral:rRNA from 1 species
AUUGAACGCUGGCGGCAGGCCUAACACAUGCAAGUCGAACGAGUGGCGGACGGGUGAGUAAUGUCUGGGAAACUGCCUGAUGGAGGGGGAUAACUACUGGAAACGGUAGCUAAUACCGCAUACCAUCGGAUGUGCCCAGAUGGGAUUAGCUAGUAGGUGGGGUAAAGGCUCACACAGGGGACGAUCCCUAGCUGGUCUGAGAGGAUGACCAGCCACACUGGGACUGAGACACGGUCCAGACUCCGACGGGAGGCAGCAGUGGGGAAUAUUGCACAAUGGACGCAAGUCUGAUGCAGCAAUGCCGCGUGAAUGAAGAAGGCCUUCGGUUUGUAAAAUACUUUCAGCGGAGAGGCGUUACCCGCCGAGGAAGCACCGGCUAACUCCGUGCCAGCAGCCGCGGUAAUAC